CCUACGGGCGGCUGCAGUGGGGAAUAUUGGACAAUGGGCGAAAGCCUGAUCCAGCCAUGCCGCGUGUGUGAAGAAGGCCUUCGGGUUGUAAAGCACUUUCAGUGGGGAAGAAAGCCUUGGGGCUAAUACCCUCGAGGAAGGACAUCACCCACAGAAGAAGCACCGGCUAACUCCGUGCCAGCAGCCGCGGUAAUACGGAGGGUGCGAGCGUUAAUCGGAAUUACUGGGCGUAAAGCGCGCGUAGGCGGUCUGAUAAGCCGGUUGUGAAAGCCCCGGGCUCAACCUGGGAACGGCAUCCGGAACUGUCAGGCUAGAGUGCAGGAGAGGAAGGUAGAAUUCCCGGUGGAGCGGUGAAAUGCGUAGAGAUCGGGAGGAAUACCAGUGGCGAAGGCGGCCUUCUGGACUGACACUGACGCUGAGGUGCGAAAGCGUGGGUAGCAAACAGGAUUAGAUACCCGUGUAGUC
rnacentral:rRNA from 1 species